rnacentral:lncRNA from 1 species
UUAGGGGAGCACAACUGGCAGGAAAUCUUGAGUCAGGACAUGCAGUUAGAUUGGAAUCCUUCUGGAUCUUAAAGCCAGAGAGGAUUUUUUUCAGUGCUUUGGACAUGGUCUUAGUAUAACUGCCACCGAGAGGAACUGAGCUGAACAGUACCUUUUGCUAUAGGUAGUCAGGAGGGUCAAGGUUUGUACUUCAGUGGAACCCAAAUUUAGCAUGUCUUACUUUUGUUUUCCUUUAGGCUGGUGAUUUGCAAUCAGGUGCUAAGAACACUGCUAUUUCUCCAAUCCCCACUCUGCUCUCAGAAGGGCAGGCAAAUUCCCUCACAAACACUGGGAAAGGAUUACUGGUGCCCUAAAUUACUGCAGUACUUAAAGUCAUGGACCAUAGCCCUGAAACAGGCUGAUGCACAUGCAGGCUCAAACCUUUUUUUACAGAAAGCUUCUCCUACUGCCCAGAAGGAAAAUUUCUUCCCAGUUGCUCACCUAAUUGUGCAUCUUGUCUACAAGCAGAAAGUUUCACUGGCUCUAUCUGUGAUGGAACAUGCCUGCCACUUUCACUGUUAAUGGAAAACAAUGAAGUAUCUGGCAGGAUCAGUUACAUUAAGGUGUGAUUUCCUGCUGGAAUAAGAUCUGGAGGCCAAAGGGGAGGUAAGUACUUUCUUAAUCUUAUUUAUUAAUCUUAAUAAAUGCUUUAACUAUUAAGUUACCA